rnacentral:rRNA from 1 species
UACGUAGGGGGCGAGCGUUGUCCGGAGUUACUGGGCGUAAAGGGUGUGUAGGCGGUUGUUUAGGUUUGGUGUGAAAUCUCCCGGCUCAACUGGGAGGGUGCGCCGAAUACUGAAUGCCUUCGAGUGCGGGAGAGGAAAGUGGAAUUCCUGGUGUAGCGGUGAAAUGCGUAGAUAUCAGGAGGAACACCGGUGGUGUAGACGGCUUUCUGGACCGUAACUGACGCUGAGACACGAAAGCGUGGGUAGCAAACAGG